UAUCAAUCCAGUUUCCUGCGGAUCAGGAACGGGUUUUCGCUUCUCAACAUAGCGAUAAGCAUCUGAUGCAGCCGCCAAAGCGGCCUUUUCCUCUUGCUGCCUCUUGAGUUCCUGAGAUGGCUUGACCCAUAGAAAGUAAGCUAAAGUACCGGCGACAACCCAAGAUGCCAAAUUGCUUCCACCCCUUAAACCUCCGGUUAAGUUUCCGACGAAGGAUCUAACAUUACCCACCGAUUUCCUCCAAUCACUCGCCAUUCCAAUUUCUUCCUUCUCCUAAACAAAAAUCAGUUUUCCCCCUAGAUUAACUGAAGCAGCUCAUGCAGAAUCCACAGUUGAAUGUUACUGGGAAUUUGUUCUGGUAAAGUGGGUUUAACUUAACGGCC
rnacentral:misc_RNA from 1 species